rnacentral:snRNA from 1 species
ACAUCAAACUUUAAAAUCUAUU